rnacentral:rRNA from 1 species
CCCUUAGAUGUUCUGGGCCGCACGCGCGCUACACUGACGAAUGCAACGAGCUUAUAACCUUGGCCGAAAGGUCUGGGUAAUCUCCAAAUUUCGUCGUGAUGGGGAUAGAUUAUUGCAAUUAUUAAUCUUCAACGAGGAAUGCCUAGUAAGCGCAAGUCAUCAGCUUGCGUUGAUUACGUCCCUGCCCUUUGUACACACCGCCCGUCGCUCCUACCGAUUGAAUGGUCCGGUGAAGCGUUCGGACCGUGGCCUUUGGACGAUUCGCCGUCUGUUGGCUGCGGGAAGUUCGUUAAACCUUAUCAUUUAGAGGAAGGAGAAGUCGUAACA